GUGUUGUGGUUAAUAACCACAGCAAUUGACGUUACCCGCAGAAGAAGCACCGGCUAACUCCGUGCCAGCAGCCGCGGUAAUACGGAGGGUGCAAGCGUUAAUCGGAAUUACUGGGCGUAAAGCGCACGCAGGCGGUCUGUCAAGUCGGAUGUGAAAUCCCCGGGCUCAACCUGGGAACUGCAUUCGAAACUGGCAGGCUGGAGUCUUGUAGAGGGGGGUAGAAUUCCAGGUGUAGCGGUGAAAUGCGUAGAGAUCUGGAGGAAUACCGGUGGCGAAGGC
rnacentral:rRNA from 1 species